rnacentral:rRNA from 1 species
AGAGUUUGAUCCUGGCUCAGGAUGAACGCUAGCGACAGGCUUAACACAUGCAAGUCGAGGGGCAGCGGGGGCGUAGCAAUAUGCCUGCCGGCGACCGGCGCACGGGUGAGUAACACGUAUGUAACCUGCCCUAUGCAGGGGGAUAACUCGGAGAAAUCCGGCCUAAUACCGCGUAACACCUUUUGGGAGCAUUUCUGGGAGGUUAAAGGAGAGAUCCGGCAUAGGAUGGACAUGCGUCGCAUUAGGUAGACGGCGGGGUAACGGCCCACCGUGCCGACGAUGCGUAGGGGUUCUGAGAGGAAGGCCCCCCACACUGGUACUGAGACACGGACCAGACUCCUACGGGAGGCAGCAGUGAGGAAUAUUGGUCAAUGGCCGAGAGGCUGAACCAGCCAAGUCGCGUGAGGGAAGAAUGUCCUAAGGAUUGUAAACCUCUUUUGUCGGGGAGCAAAAAGGCUCUGCGGAGUCGUAUUGAGAGUACCCGAAGAAAAAGCAUCGGCUAACUCCGUG